CGCGCCUCCCCUGCCUGUCUGCAGAGGCAGUUUUGAAUUCAGGAGCGGCAAACCCUGGCGGUUCUCCGGAUUCGUUGCAACCACGGAUGGGAAAAUGUGGAGGUUGCACGGCUGAUGUUUACUGUUCGUGGCACAGGAAGAGGCAGUUUCAUUUCAGGAAUGAGUGUGCACAAUCAAAGAAUAGAGCGACUGUGGAGAGACCUCUGGGUGGCCGUUGCAUGCAUUUACUACGAUGUUCUUCACAACCUUGAGGAAGAAGGCCUUCUUGACAUUUCAAAUGCUGCACACCUCUUUUGCUGCCAUUACAUCUUUCUUCCUCGACUGGAGGAUGAUUUUAAUACAUUUUGCAGUGGAUGGGACAACCAUCCACUGCGAACAGAAAACAACACGAGUCCCAACCAGCUGUGGGAGUUGUGUCACAGAUAUCACCCUGUUCCUGUUCCAGAAAACACACAGCUUAUCACACAUUUGAUUUCCAUGUGUGACAACUGCAAGUGUCCAGAGUGAGGACAGAC